rnacentral:rRNA from 1 species
AUAGAGUUUGAUCAUGGCUCAGAAUGAACGCUGGCGGCAUGCCUAACACAUGCAAGUCGAACGAAGCCUUCGGGUUUAGUGGCGCACGGGUGCGUAACGCGUGGGAAUCUGCCCCUUGGUUCGGAAUAACAGUUGGAAACGACUGCUAAUACCGGAUGAUGACGUAAGUCCAAAGAUUUAUCGCCGAGGGAUGAGCCCGCGUAGGAUUAGGUAGUUGGUGUGGUAAAGGCGCACCAAGCCGACGAUCCUUAGCUGGUCUGAGAGGAUGAUCAGCCACACUGGGACUGAGACACGGCCCAGACUCCUACGGGAGGCAGCAGUGGGGAAUAUUGGACAAUGGGCGAAAGCCUGAUCCAGCAAUGCCGCGUGAGUGAUGAAGGCCUUAGGGUUGUAAAGCUCUUUUACCCGGGAUGAUAAUGACAGUACCGGGAGAAUAAGCUCCGGCUAACUCCGUGCCAGCAGCCGCGGUACUGC